UACAGAGGUCUCGAGCGUUAGGCGGAAUCACUGGGCUUAAAGCGUGUGUAGGUGGAUCGUUAAGUACCUUGUGAAAUCCCACGGCUUAACCGUGGAACUGCUUGGUAUACUGGCGGUCUUGAGCCACUUAGGGGCUACCGGAACAAAUGGUGGAGCGGUGAAAUGCGUAGAUAUCGUCUGGAACGCCAAAGGUGAAAACAGACUGCUGAGAGUGUGCUGACGCUGAGACACGAAAGCCAGGGGAGCAAACGGG
rnacentral:rRNA from 1 species